AGAUUGAACGCUAGCGGGAUGCUUUACACAUGCAAGUCGAACGGCAGCGCGGACUUCGGUCUGGCGGCGAGUGGCGAACGGGUGAGUAAUAUAUCGGAACGUGCCCAGUAGCGGGGGAUAACUACGCGAAAGCGUGGCUAAUACCGCAUACGCCCUACGGGGGAAAGGGGGGGAUCGCAAGACCUCUCACUAUUGGAGCGGCCGAUAUCAGAUUAGCUAGUUGGUGAGGUAAAGGCUCACCAAGGCGACGAUCUGUAGCUGGUUUGAGAGGACGACCAGCCACACUGGGACUGAGACACGGCCCAGACUCCUACGGGAGCAGCAGUGGGGAAUUUUGGACAAUGGGGGAAACCUGAUCCAGCCAUCCCGCGUGUGCGAUGAAGGCCUUCGGUUGUAAG
rnacentral:rRNA from 1 species